rnacentral:lncRNA from 1 species
UGGAGGAGUGUGGUGCUGAUAGAUCAAUUAUCAGUCUGGGUUUAAGUGAGGUCUUCCCUGUAACCACCCCUAUAGGAUUGGUUCUCCAGGACGUGAAGGGUGGGGAAAAGAAUGGUCCCAACAGAAACCCUUGCUCCAGCUCAGUUGAGAUAAGUGUAUUUACCAACUGUGGAUCGUCUAAUGUGGACUGUAGGUUGUCGCAUUCCAGUGUACCGGAGGGUAAAUGGACCAACCCGGUGUGAAAACCCUUGGUCAUGCCCAAAAUAAUAUAUUCAGUGAAAUGACGUGAAGGAUGUGGCUGUAAAAGUG